UACGGAGGGUGCAAGCGUUAUCCGGAUUCACUGGGUUUAAAGGGUGCGUAGGUGGGUUGGUAAGUCAGCUGUGAAAGCCCCGGGCUCAACCUGGGAACUGCGGUUGAAACUGGCGAACUAGAAUCUGGCAGAGGGGGGUGGAAUUCCACGUGUAGCAGUGAAAUGCGUAGAGAUGUGGAGGAACACCGAUGGCGAAGGCAGCCCCCUGGGCUGAGAUUGACGCUCAGGCACGAAAGCGUGGGAGCAAACAGG
rnacentral:rRNA from 1 species